rnacentral:rRNA from 1 species
GGCUCAGGAUGAGCGCUGGCGGCGUGCCUAAUACAUGCAAGUCGAACGGUUCUCGCAAGAGGAUAGUGGCGAACGGGUGAGUAACGCGUUGGUGACCUGCCCCUUAGAGAGGGAUAACAGCUCGAAAGAGCUGCUAAUACCGCAUAAGAUCGUAGGGAUUAGAAGCCUAUGAUGAAAGCCGAAAGGCGCUGAGGGAGGGACCUGCGUCCCAUCAGCUAGUUGGUGAGGUAAUGGCCCACCAAGGCGAUGACGGGUAGGGGACCUGAGAGGGUGACCCCCCACAAUGGAACUGAAACACGGUCCAUACACCUACGGGUGGCAGCAGUAGGGAAUAUUGGGAAUGGGCGCAAGCCUGACCCAGCAACGCCGCGUGAGUGAUGAAGGCCUUCGGGUUGUAAAACUCUUUUCACCGGGAAGAGGAAGGACGGUACCGGUGGAAUAAGUCUCGGCUAACUACGUGCCAGCAGCCGCGGUAACACGUAGGAGACAAGCGUUAUCCGGAUUUACUGGGUGUAAAGCGCGCGCAGGCGGUCUGGUAAGUUGGAUGUGAAAGCUCCUGGCUUAACUGGGAGAGGUCGUUCAAUACUGCUGGACUAGAGGAUGGCAGAGGGGAGUGGAAUUCCGAGUGUAGCGGUAAAAUGCAUAGAUAUUCGGAAGAACACCAGUGGCGAAGGCGGCUCUCUGGGCCAUUUCUGACGCUCAGACGCGAAAGCUAGGGUAGCAAACGGGAUUAGAGACCCCGGUAGUCCUAGCCGUAAACGAUGUGAACUUGGCGUGGGUGGGUUCAAAUCCAUCCGUGCCGUAGCAAACGCGAUAAGUUCACCACCUGGGGACUACGGCCGCAAGGGUUAAACUCAAAU